rnacentral:rRNA from 1 species
UACGUAGGUGGCAAGCGUUGUCCGGAUUUAUUGGGUUUAAAGGGUGCGUAGGCGGCCCUGUAAGUCAGUGCUGAAAUAUCCCAGCUUAACUGGGAGGGUGGCAUUGAUACUGCGGGGCUAGAGUACAGAUGAGGUAGGCGGAAUUGACGGUGUAGCGGUGAAAUGCUUAGAUAUCGAGAGGAACACCAGUGGCGAAGGCGGGUCUCUGGACAGUUCCUGACACUGAGACACGAAGGCCAGGGGAGCAAACAGG